rnacentral:rRNA from 1 species
AGAGUUUGAUCCUGGCUCAGGAUGAAUGCUGGCGGCGUGCCUAACACAUGCAAGUCGAGCGGCAGCGAGUUUUACACUGAAUUCUGGAAGCUUCUGGGUAAUAUAGAAGGUCUAUUCAAGAAUUUUGUGUAAAAUGUCGGCGAGCGGCGGACGGCUGAGUAACGCGUAGGAAUUUGCCCCAAAGUGAGGAAUAACUGCCCGAAAAUAGCUGGUCUGAGAGGAUGAUCAGCCAGACUGGAACUGAGACACGGUCCAGACUCCUACGGGAGGCAGCAGUGAGGAAUCUUCCACAAUGGGCGAAAGCCUGAUGGAGCAACGCCGCGUGAAGGAUGAAGGCCUUCGGGUUGUAAACUUCUUUUAUGAGUGAAGAAUAUGACGGUAACUCAUGAAUAAGCACCGGCUAACUACGUGCCAGCAGCCGCGGUCAUACGUAGGGUGCAAGCAUUAUCCGGAGUGACUGGGCGUAAAGAGUUGCGUAGGCGGUUUAAUAAGUGAAUAGUGAAACCUGGUGGCUCAACCAUACAGACUAUUAUUCAAACUGUUAAACUCGAGAAUGGUAGAGGUAACUGGAAUUUCUAGUGUAGGAGUGAAAUCCGUAGAUAUUAGAAGGAACACCGAUGGCGUAGGCAGGUUACUGGGCCAUUUCUGACGCUAAGGCACGAAAGCGUGGGGAGCGAACCGGAUUAGAUACCCGGGUAGUCCACGCCGUAAACGAUGGAUACUAGCUGUUGGAGGUAUCGACCCCUUCAGUAGCGAAGCUAACGCGUUAAGUAUCCCGCCUGUGGAGUACGGCCGCAAGGCUAAAACAUAAAGGAAUUGACGGGGACCCGCACAAGCGGUGGAUUAUGUUCUUUAAUUCGAUGAUAACCGAAGAACCUUACCAGGGCUUGACAUCCAGGGAAGGUCUGCGAAAGUAGACUGUGCCUUUUGGAACCCUGUGACAGGUGAUGCAUGGCCGUCGUCAGCUCGUGUCGUGAGAUGUUAGGUUAAGUCCUUCAACGAGCGCAACCCUUGUGAAUAGUUGUAUUUUUCUAUUCAGACUGCCCCGGUAACGGGGAGGAAGGAGGGGAUGAUGUCAGGUCAGUAUUUCCCUUACGUCCUGGGCUAGAAACGUAAUACAAUGGCUAGUACAAUGCGCAGCGAAGCCGCGAGGUGAAGCAAAUCGCAUCAAAGCUAGUCCCAGUUCGGAUUGUAGGCUGAAACUCGCCUGCAU